rnacentral:piRNA from 1 species
UGGAACAGUUGUAACUGUUUCGAUUGUGC